GUUCCAGUACUCUGUGUCUCUAAGACUAACGCAACGCCUAAACCUAAUUCCUAAAUAAUCAAAAAGAGUAAAGACAGAAUCACAGAAACCCGUCACUAACGCCUAAGGCCCUAAACCAGCAGCCACCAGUCCUCGUCGACUUUCACCAGCCACCUCGCCCCGUCUCGCCUCUCCCUCUUGCCACAGUCAGCAGAUGGUAAGUUUCUUUUCUUGUUGAGUGUGAUUUUACUUGCAAAAGUUUCCACAAGCAAGCAAAAAGAUAGUCGAAUUCAGAAAAGGUCCUUCCUGUUUAUUUGAAAAGGUCCUACUUUUUUUUUACACUCGCAAUACUGAACUAGCAAUGGAUUUGUUUCCACAAAAGGUAAGUUUCAAUGAUCGAUCGAAUUCAGUGUUUUAACUUGUUCCCGAAUUUGAUUUGUCUUAGGUGCUUGGUAUUCGUUAUUAAUUUGUUGCCAAACGAUUUGUUGGUUUACAGAAAUUUUGGAUAUCUGAGUAUUGAUUAGUUGAUUUUAGAUUCAGUUUGACACAUUUGUUCGAUUAUUUCAUGGGGUUUCUGUUCCAAAAGUUGUUGAAAUAAGAAGUGCCAUUGAUUGUUUCACGAAAUGAAAGAAGAGGAGAUCUUUCUGACAACAUGGGAUGCUUUGCGGUCCAUUACAACUUGAUUCUUUGAUAGUGAGACUGUGAAGUGAGACUGCGACUUUAAUUGCUGCAGUACAUAUGAGUACAGAAAUUGGACACUUCUUUUGACAAUUUCGCGUUUCAUUUCGGGUUUAUUGGUUGUUUUCUACCCAGGCUCCCUAAGUUUAUUUGGCCAGAAAAGCUUCAGUUAUAGUUGAUGCUGAAAUUUGGUUACGAAAGACUUCAUUAUAUGUCCUAAAUGUGUCAUUGACUGAAAUGUUUGUUUUGUUAUCAGUAAGGACGUUGUAAUAUGCUAUAUGCAUCAUUGAUACUGAAACUUCUGUUUGGUUAUCAUUUAAUUGAAGUACCAUAUUUUGAUCCUCUAGCA